rnacentral:rRNA from 1 species
CCUACGGGAGGCAGCAGUGAGGAAUAUUGGUCAAUGGACGAGAGUCUGAACCAGCCAAGUCGCGUGAAGGAUGACUGCCCUAUGGGUUGUAAACUUCUUUUAUAUGGGAAUAAAAUGUUCCACGUGUGGGUUUUUGUAUGUACCAUAUGAAUAAGGAUCGGCUAACUCCGUGCCAGCAGCCGCGGUAAUACGGAGGAUUCGAGCGUUAUCCGGAUUUAUUGGGUUUAAAUGGUGCGUAGGUGGAUUGUUAAGUCAGUUGUGAAAGUUUGCGGCUCAACCGUAAAAUUGCAGUUGAAACUGGAAGUCUUGAGUACAGUAGAGGUGGGCGGAAUGCGUGGUGUAGCGGUGAAAUGCUUAGAUAUCACGAAGAACUCCGAUUGCGAAGGCAGCUCACUGGACUGCAACUGACACUGAGGCUCGAAAGUGUGGGGAUCAAACAGGAUUAGAUACCCUGGUAGUC